rnacentral:rRNA from 1 species
UACGAAGGGGGCUAGCGUUGCUCGGAAUCACUGGGCGUAAAGGGUGCGUAGGCGGGUCUUAAGUCAGGGGUGAAAUCCUGGAGCUCAACUCCAGAACUGCCUUUGAUACUGAAGAUCUUGAGUCCGGAAGAGGUGAGUGGAACUCCUAGUGUAGAGGUGGAAUUCGUAGAUAUUAGGAAGAACACCAGUGGCGAAGGCGGCUCACUGGUCCGGUACUGACGCUGAGGUGCGAAAGCGUGGGGAGCAAACAGG